rnacentral:rRNA from 1 species
AGCGAACGCUGGCGGCAGGCCUAACACAUGCCAGUCGAACGAACCUUUCGGGGUUAGUGGCGGACGGGUGAGUAACACGUGGGAACGUGCCUUUAGGUUCGGAAUAACUCAGGGAAACUUGUGCUAAUACCGAAUGUGCCCUUCGGGGGAAAGAUUAAUCGCCUUUAGAGCGGCCCGCGUCUGAUUAGCUAGUUGGUUGAGGUAAUGGCUCACCAAGGCGACGAUCAGUAGCUGGUCUGAGAGGAUGAUCAGCCACAUUGGGACUGAGACACGGCCCAAAAUCAGACGGGAGGCAGCAGGGGGGAAUAUUGCGCAAUGGGGGAAAGCCUGACGCAGCCAUGCCGGGUGAAUGAUGAAGGUCUUAGGAUAGUAAAAUUCUUUCACCGGGGACGAUAAUGACGGUACCCGGAGAAGAAGACCCGGCUAACUUCGUG